UCCUACGGGAGGCAGCAGUAGGGAAUAUUGGACAAUGAGCGCAAGCUUGAUCCAGCCAUACCGCGUGUGUGAAGAAGGCUUUCGGGUUGUAAAGCACUUUAAGCAGGGAGAAAAAGUUAUAGGUUAAUACCCUAUGACCGUGAUGUUACCUGCAGAAUAAGCACCGGCUAAUUCCGUGCCAGCAGCCGCGGUAAUACGGAAGGUGCAAGCGUUAAUCGGAAUUACUGGGCGUAAAGCGCGCGUAGGUGGUUUGUUAAGUUGGAUGUGAAAGCCCUGGGCUCAACCUAGGAACUGCAUCCAAAACUAACUCACUAGAGUACGAUAGAGGGAGGUAGAAUUCAUAGUGUAGCGGUGGAAUGCGUAGAUAUUAUGAAGAAUACCAGUGGCGAAGGCGGCCUCCUGGAUCUGUACUGACACUGAGGUGCGAAAGCGUGGGUAGCGAACAGGAUUAGAUACCCUGGUAGUCCACGCCGUAAACGAUGACAACUAGCUGUUGGGAGACAAUGUCUUUCAGUGGCGCAGCUAACGUUUUAAGUUGUCCGCCUGGGGAGUACGGCCGCAAGGCUAAAACUCA
rnacentral:rRNA from 1 species